AUACGAAUGCUGAACACUGGGACGUGUGGCCCUAAAUAGUAUCACCGCAACGGCGGCCCCAGGAGAAGAGAUGUACUGCCAUGUACUGGCUGUGUGCCUUUGAGUGAGCUGUUUAACCUCUCUGAGCCUCCGUCUCUUUACCUGAAAAAGGAGCAUAAUAUCUGUCUCAGUUGCUGUGACAUGGGUAGUAGAGCUAUCUGUGUUAGCACAAUGCCGGGGGCAUACCAGAUAAUAAAUGGGAUUUAUUUUUACCAUUAUUGCUUUUUAAAAUUAUUUUCUUGUUAAGAUUUUAUCAGAACCACUAACCUGUGUUUUCCCUGAAGCACGUUUUACCAAAAGUUUGAGAGAAAACGGUUUUUGGCGGUUUUAUAACUUUAUUUGAUGUAUUCGAGUAUCAGCAGUUCUUCUCCCACACUAACUGUUGGUUUUAGAAAGUGUAACGGGUACAUAGUUUUGUGAACCCUGAAAGUUUGAGACAAGUGUCAGUUAGUGUAUGAAGUUUAUCUUGACAAGGUUGAGGACGCGUGCCUGUGACACAGCCUCAGGAAGUCCUGAGGACACGUGCCUAAGGUGGUGGGUGCACAGCUUGGUUUUAUACAGGGAGACAGGAGACAUCAGUCUAUAUGUAAGAAGUACAUUGGUUCCUGCCAGAAAGGUGGGACAACUUGAAGCAGGGAGGAAGGCUUCCAGGUUAUAAGUAGGUGAGAGACAAAUGGUUGCAGUCUUUGGAGUUUCUGAUAAACCUUUCCCAAGGAGGCAGUCAGAUAUGCAUCUGUCUCAGCAGAGGGAUGACUUUGAAUAGAAUGGGAGGCAGGUUUGCUUUGAGCAGUUCCCAGCUUGAAUUUUCCCUUCAGUUCAGUGAUUUUGGGGCCCAUGAUAUUUUCCUUUCACAUUUCAGUGAAUCUGCAUCCGCAUUAUGUUUUUCUGGACAACCACACGUGGAUACCAUAUGGGACAUUAUUCUUUUGGCCCAGACAGCUUCGUCAAACCUGGUGUCUGUGUGCAUCUGGAGUUCCCAUCUCUUUCUUGGCAAAUUUCCAGAUAUCUUUGCUGAGUGCCCGAGGGGCACACUUCUUGAAGUCCAUUUCAAUGGGAUGUGCUUGGGAAUGUUGAUGGUGUCACCACCUCAUUGAUGGCUGAAUGGCCCCCUUCUUCUUCCCACCCUUCUUCUGCGGGACCUAAGUUCGAAAGAAGAAAACAAUUUCAAGUUGAAUAUUACACAUUCUUAAAAUAGUCCCUCAAACAUUUCCACAGCUCUACUCCAGCCUCUCAGGUUGCCUCCUCCUUUCUAAUCUCCUUCCUUCUAGAUUAUUCCCUGAGCUGCAAAGUCUUGUCACUUUAUCAUGCACAGCAUUAUUCAGCUCCCUUAAUCCCUGUUUGCAAUUUUGCUGCUUUCUGCCUGAGCAUGUCAAGAUGCUCAGCUGAACAUUAAUUUGCGUGAAAGUACAAAGGCCCAGCAGAAACCUUGAGACUAUUUUAGCAAGAUUUUUUUCCCUCAGGAAGGAAUCAACUGUUGUAUAAAGUGCUUUUUCCUUUCUCCAAAGUAUAUUCACCAUGCUUCAACCAAUAUACAGAGAAUGUGCAUGUAAAAGCACAUAUUAAAUGGUGUCAACUUUUGCUUCUUAGUCAAAGACUUAGGGUCCAGAAACUGUAGAGAACCUUUAAGGACUUUAGUCAAGAGCUGUAUUACUUCUCUGUUGUUAUGGUCUGAAUGUGUCCCCUAAAAUUUCUAUGUUGACACUUAAUUAUCAGUGUGAUAGUAUUAAGAGGUGGGGUCUUUAGGAGGGAAUUAAGUCAUGAGGGCAGAGCGUUAUAAAAGGGCCUGAGGGUGUAAGUCUGUUCCUACCAUCUCUUCUACCAUGUGAGUGAAACUGCCUUUGAAAAAUUAUAACAGUGAGAAAAUUUUGACGGUGAAAGAGAUCUGACCUAACUAAUUCCAUCUGCGUCUCACUUUCAAGCUGCCCUUAUUUAUUCCUGGGCAUAGGCCAAACUAACUUUGGGAGGAAUUUAGAUUAUAUAUUAACUUUGAAACAAAGAUGAUAACAGCUCCUCCAUGAAACAAAUCCCCAGCUUUCCUGGGGACCAGACCACCUUUGUUAAACUAACAGAUUAGGCAGGGCAUAAUGGCUCAUGCCUGUAAUUUGGGAGGCCAAAGUGGGAGGAUUGCAUAAGUCUAGGAGUUCGAGACCAGCCUGGGCAACAUAGACCUUGUCUCUACAAAAAAUGAACAAAAUUAGCUGGGCAUGGUGGCACAUGCCUGUAGUGCUUCAUGGGGAGCAUCACUUCAGCCCAGGAAGUGUAGUUUGCAGUGAGCCAAGAUCCUGCCACUGCAUUUCUGCCUGUGUGACAGAGCGAGACCUUGUCUCAAAAAAUAAACUAACAAAUUAACUAGAAGAUUAGAAAUUAUAGCUCAGGAGUCAUGCAGCCAGAGUCCACAAGAUCACCAACCUCCACAAUUGCUCCUAUAGAUAACAUUGCUAUUAUAAAACCUAACGUUGGUGUUUGAGUUAUUUUUCAAAUCCUGAAUUCCAAUGGACCAGCUAGAACCACACAGAUAAGUAAAAUGACACAUCUGGUCUUGUGGCCCCCACCCAGAAACUGACUUAGCAUAAGAUGACAGCUAUGACUCCCUAUAAUUUUAUUCCUGACCCAACCAAUCAGCAUUCCCCAUUCUCUAGCCUGCUGUCUGCCAAACUAUCUUUAAAAAAUACUCUAGCCCCUGAAUUUUCAGGAGGUUGAUUUGAGUAGUAAUAAAACUCAUCUUCUGUUUAGCCAGCUCCACAUGCACUAAACUCUUUGUCUUGAUAAAUUGGCUCUAUGUAGGCAGCAGGCAAGAAAAACCUAUUGGAUGGUUACAUGAGGACACAGCGAGAAAGCCCUUAUGAGACACUGAAUUCUGGCAUCUUGAUCUUGAACUUCCCAGCUUCUAGAACUGAUUGAAGGCAAAUACUUGAAGUUGCAAUCCAAGGUCAAGAAAACAGAAUCAAGAGGUCAUAAUCCUUCUCUGAUGAUGGCUCAGAAAGCUGGAAGACACUCAACAUUGAAUCCUGGGACUCCGUGCCAUGCUUGCUAGGAGAAACAGCCACCAUGAGUCCAUCUUUCAGAUCUCAAGUGAACAGCAUGGAACUGUUUCCAUAACCCCAGCACAGGCAGCAUGACUGAGAGAUGGCUCCAAGGCAAGAGAAGAUUGAGGCACUUAUGCUUUGCUGACUGCUACAAAAAUUGCACUUGACCACUUGACUCUCUCAACUCUGGUGUAAUCAUCAACCAUUACCUGGUUAGUUUUGCCCUUUGUGGUGCCUGGUCCACCCUUGCACUGGGCCACACCAGUUUCCUUCCUCUGGUUUGUGUUUUACAGUUCAUUUACCCUGAGUCAAGAGGAUUUGGCUAUGAAUCCCCUCAUGAAUUUUCCUCCUAGAUGAGGUCUGUUGGUAGCACCUCCACAGACCUGGUCUCAGCUCCUAGCGUACAGCUCUCCCACCUUCCAAUAGCUGGAUGAGAUGCCUUUUGGAGCUGGCAAAACCUGUUUAAGGUACAGGAGAGAAAAAGAACUUGCUAUUAACCGUAAUCAGAAACUACGGGAAGAACAGAUGCCCACUAGCAUGCAAUAGCCACUCUUGAAAUCAUUCUGAAGUUCAUUUUCUUCACCUCUUUGACCCUCGCCUUUUCCUCAUUCCAAGUGGUUGGACCCUGUCCUUUGGUCUUAAGGAACUGCCUUUAAAUCACUUACUUUAUGCUACCCAAGUUGAUCAAAAAACUCUUCCACAUUUCUGUUUUCUCAGCCCUGUGGAUGUACUUAUGUGGAACCCAACCACUGACAGUGUCUCUUUCCCUCCUUGAAAACAAGUCUUUCAAUCCCGGUUUGUCUUCCCACAUUGUCCUUUUGUGGGAUAGUGUACUGGAGAUGAGCUUCUCAUUAAGAUGUUUUCAUUUAGAGUAGAAGGCUUGAUCUUAUCCUUACUUCCCUGAUUUGGGCAAUUUUUGAGACAGGAUCUCACUCUGUUGCUCAGGCCAGAGUGCAGUGGCAUGAUCAUAGCUCACUGCAGCCUCAAACUCCUAGGCUCAAGCGAUCUUCCCACCACAGCCUCCCGAGUAGCAAGGACUACAGGUGCACACCACUACACCUGGCUAAUUUUUAAAUUUUUUGUAGAGAUGGGGUCUUGCCAUGUUGCCCAAGCUGGUCUCAACUUGUGGUCUCAAGGAUCCUCAGCCUCCCAGAGUGCUGGGAUUACAGGCAUGAGCCACCAUGGCUGGCAGUCUGGACAAUCUUUAAAGCAUUCCCCACCUAUAUCAACACCACAUGCUAGAAUAUUCUCAGCCACAAGGGAAAAGCAUAAACCAUGACUAUGCACGACACACUGAAUUUGCAGCAACUAAUUUGCAACCAAUAAUGAAGUAUCAAUGUUUGUUUGCAGUGAUUCCUCUGUGAAUCCAAAUAGAUCCAAGGAUAACCCUGUAAUAAUACCACAAUUACUGGUAGACGUUCCUGUAUUUUUUGAGAGGGAGGGGAAGUGUUGGAAUCACAGGCACUAUGACUGGAUGGGCCAUGACUUACAGUCUGUUAUUUAUGCCAUAGCCCUAGUCACACCACAGCUGAUUGAUAGGCUCUAUGAGGUUAUGAUGAUUACAUAUUAUUGUAGUGAUUUAAUCUGGGUAUAUCCGAUACGUGAACUGAGGCUGAAAAGGUUCACAGCCACUGGCCCAAAUCGUUAAGUGCCAAUCACAUAUUUCUUUGGGUGGUAACACCUGUUUGAUCUUCAAAGAACCAAGAAGGCCAAGAUUUUAUGUAAUACCAAGUAUAGUAGAAAGCUAUUACCUAAUAUGUUAGACAUUUAUUCAGGCCGGGGUACACUAUAUUGUCCAGGCAUUAUAUAUAUAUUUUCUUGUAUUAGGUUGUGAUAAUCCAGCUAGAGAAGUUUCAUGAAACUCAAAUCUAAAAUCUUUUGAAGAAAAUAUUUUCUGACUAGUUGAUUCUGCCACACACAUGUCACAGCUAGCCUGCUCCCACAUCCAAAACAUAUUCUAAGAAGGAAGCAGCUUAGCCAUCAGAACUUUUUUAAUGCCAGGUUAUCAUUGCUAAGCAAUUCCCUAUCCUUAAAAGGACAGGCAGUGAAGAGGAAGAUUCAAUCCAAAGACAGCUCCCAAUUUGUAGGUUGUUAAAUACCUGUAGGUUUCUUUUAAUCAUAAAGAAGGAAAAUUAAAGAAAGACUUGAGGAUCACCUACAUAGAGUGAACACAGAAAAAAAACCCUCAAUCCCAUUGCUUUGGCACUAAUAUCUUUGGCUGAUCUGAGAUUACAUGAGACACCAAAAAUAAAAACACUGAACUUUGGUUUGAUGAAAUAGACAAUUCAGGUUGUCGUUUAUAAUUUUAGAGUUUGCUUCACAUAUACAAUGCUGUGUUAUGAAACAAUUAAUACUUUUAUAAAAAAUUUAUUUCACACUUUUAUACAAAUAUCCACAGGUAAUUUCUAAUCACGAAAUAAUUUUACAAUGCUAGUUAGUACAAAAAUGUAUCAAAUGCAAACAGACCAGUGACUUGACUUGAGAUGACAUUUUUAACAACCAUAAAUUUAAACACCAUAACAUCUUUCUUUGUUGAACCACCCUCCCAACACCCUUUCUGGGACAUUCAUCUUUUUUUUUAAUAACACAGGUCUAAAAACACUGUCAAAAUAUCAGCUCCUGAGCAAUCUAAACACAUUAGGGACACAAGUUCCCCAAGCAAGAAACUGAGACUUUAAACACUGUUAUAACCUGUUUUACAGAAAUUUUUGUAAACAAAAUAUAUUUUGUGAAUAAGAAUUCCAAAGUACAACCAAAACAACGUCCUUAGUAUCUUAAGGUUUAAGAUUUCUGAAAAGAAAAAAGCCCCCCAAAACAACAGUGGCACUACAAAUUGUGUUGGACAGACACUGCUUAUAUUAUAUCCAAAACAAAUUAGCACCUGUUUGCUGUUGCUCCCCAUAUAACAACAUUGUGAAGCAUGGUAAUUUUAAAAAAUCGGCUUUCAUAACUAUUCAGUCUCUGUUGAAUGUAUAGAGUAAUAAUUCCACCCCCCUGCCAUUUUUACAGUUAAAACACAAAAGUUCUUGUUAAAUUAGCCCCAAAGUAAUUUUUGGGAAUACAGAUAGAUAGGGGAGGAAACAAAACAAAAAAUAGAACAUCGACUCACUGAUUAACUGUUUUGGUAGCAGAUUCAGUAGUCUUAUACUGGAUCGGUCUGGAUCCACCAUAGGUAUUCACCAUUUCUUUCAAGUCCUGAAUAUACAGUAUUUACAGCAGUGAGUAAACUGCACUAGAGUUCAGUGAAUAAACCCAUUUUCUCAAAGAAUUCCUGAAUGUUACAGUAUGAAAUCCAGAAACAUUACGCAGGCUUCUAAACUAAAAAAUAUCCAAUGCCUGAAAUAAACAUCUUUACAGUUAUAAUUCUAUUUCUUAAACCUUUUGGGUUGUGGGGUGGAGGUUGUCAUGAAGGAGAGGUUAUAAUUUAUAGAUAAGUUAUUAAAACAACUCUCUCUGGUACAUUUAUAAAGAUUUUCUUUUUGCCGUAAAUAAUUUAGGUCAAAGUGAUGACCUCCCAUGCUCUAAUUCUGAUUGAUUAAACCAACCUGAAGGGUAAACUGGAGACUCUUUGGCCUGUUAGUCAAUAACAAAAUGGUUUGUAAAGAAAAGAAAAAAUAAAUACCAUAUACAAAUAA